AAUAAUUCGUCAUUUGAAAGUAUGUCGAGAACUUUGAAGUAGUUUGAAACGCUACAUACAGAUGGCAGUUUGAUACUUAAAAUCGUUUUCACUCGAAUCAAUGUUACUAGCAUUUUGUUGGGAACAUCGACAAGAAUCGAUAUAUCACCGAUAUAAAUUUAAACAAAAAUCGCAGUCUAGAAUCUUCUAGUUAACCUUAAACUAAAGUAAUUUUAUUAGCCAAUGGAUAAGUUGAGGUUACCCGACUAAAGUGAAAAACUAUUUCGUGCGAACAAAAUCAGUCGUAGAAAUAGUAAUAAAGACAAGAUGAUUCUACAUAUAUAAGUAGCAACGAAAAUAGAUGCUGCGACGAGCGUCGUAAUACAUUACUCCAGCCUAAUUAACAUUCCGCUCAAAUUAAACACGACUGUUACUCGAGUAUCCUAAUCACCUGUAUCACUAUUAAUUAGACCUAACGUCAACUUUAAUUAGCAUGUAUUCCUUACUAGCGGAGUCUAUCAAAUAGAUUCAAUAUUAUUGCGAGUUGUAUCUUAAACUCUCCAUGUAAGAACGAUCGAAUUUACAACUGAUUCGCAUGCAGUCGUGCAUCGUUCUGAAUCGAAAAGGUUCGAAGAGCUUGCUCUUAUAUUCCUCAGUUUCCAAGGCGAACAGGUCGAGUCCGGGUGUCGGUAUACAAACUACCAGACUAGAAAUUAGAUCAUCUAACUAUACUGCUCGGGGCUAAUGGUUUACAGCAUGACUGCACCCCUACCCUCGGCAAACAUCGGUGUUACAAGCGUUCCGCUAUACCUUCAGCUU